rnacentral:hammerhead_ribozyme from 1 species
AUCCAGCUGACGAGUCCCAAAUUGGACGAAACGUGAAACGUGCCUUGUCCUGGAU